CCUACGGGAGACAGCAGUGGGGAAUAUUGCACAAUGGGGGAAACCCUGAUGCAGCAACGCCGCGUGAGUGAAGAAGGAUUUCGGUAUGUAAAGCUCUAUCAGCAGGGAAGAAAAUGACGGUACCUGAGUAAGAAGCCCCGUCUAACUACGGGCCAGCAGCCGCAGUAAUACGUGGGGGGCAAGCGUUAUCCGGAUUGACUGGGUGUAAAGGGAGCGUAGACGGCGAUAAAAGUCUGAAGGGAAAGCCGGGGGCCCAACCCCGGGACUGCUGUGGAAACUGUGUUGCUGGAGUGCUGGAGAGGCAAGCGGAAUGCCUAGUGUAGCGGUGAAAUGCGUAGAUAUUAGGAAGAACACCGAUGGCGAAGGCAGCUUGCUGGACAGUAACUGACGUUGAGGCUCGAAAGCGUGGGGAGCAAACAGGAUUAGAUACCCCAGUAGUC
rnacentral:rRNA from 1 species